CCUACGGGGGGCAGCAGUGGGGAAUAUUGGACAAUGGGGGCAACCCUGAUCCAGCCAUGCCGCGUGUGUGAAGUAGGCCCUCGGGUUGUAAAGCACUUUCAGUGAGGAAGAACGCCUGGUGGUUAAUACCCAUCAGGAAAGACAUCACUCACAGAAGAAGCACCGGCUAACUCCGUGCCAGCAGCCGCGGUAAUACGGAGGGUGCGAGCGUUAAUCGGAAUUACUGGGCGUAAAGCGCGCGUAGGUGGCUUGAUAAGCCGGUUGUGAAAGCCCCGGGCUCAACCUGGGAACGGCAUCCGGAACUGUCAAGCUAGAGUGCAGGAGAGGAAGGUAGAAUUCCCGGUGUAGCGGUGAAAUGCGUAGAGAUCGGGAGGAAUACCAGUGGCGAAGGCGGCCUUCUGGACUGACACUGACACUGAGGUGCGAAAGCGUGGGUAGCAAACAGGAUUAGAUACCCCUGUAGUC
rnacentral:rRNA from 1 species